rnacentral:SRP_RNA from 1 species
GCCAGGUGUGGUGGCGCACACCUGUAAUCCCAGCUAUUCCAGAGGCUGAGACAGGAGAAUCACUUGAACUCAGGAGGCGGAGGUUGCAGUGAGCCGAGAUUGCGCCACUGCAUUCCAGCCUGAGCAACAGAGUGAGACUCUGUCUCAA